CUAAAGUUCGACAUCACCUGAAUCCAUGAUUUUUCGAAUAAGAUGGUAGUGAUACAAAAUGCUUGGUAAGCUAAUGGGACUUCAACUCUUUAGCAUGAGCUAUGACUCCGGUGCUGUACAAUGCAGCAGAACCAUCAUAGGAGGGUGCCACUCCUAGCUUGCCAGUAAACCUAUACAAUCACAUAGCUUCCUUGCAAGCAUCGGAUGUUGCUAUGCAUUCUGCAUCGCAAAUUGAAUUGGCUAUACUGUUCUGCUUGAAACUUUUUUCAAUAGAUUGCUCUAUUUUUUAGGAUAAAGGUACAUUCCGACAUGUUCUUGCUAUUAUUAUGUCCAACUAAAAAUUGGAGUCAAAUUUCAUAAGUCUUAAGUCAGAUUCUCCAUAACCAAGUCAUCGGUCCUUAGUAUUUCUCAAAUACUUAAGGAUGACGUUCCAAUUAUUCUUAUCCGGAUCUUGCAGGUAUCCACUCACUAUCCUAGUGAGUAUACCAUAUCUAGUCUUAUACAUGAUGUACAUGAUAGAAUAAAUUCUACUCAUAAAUAUUCUAUAUACAUGAACUGGAAUAACCUAAGCAAGCUCUUAAAUCUAUCUCUAUAGAUCUUCAUCCUCAAGAUGAGAGAUGCUUUUCCCAAGUCUUUUCUG
rnacentral:lncRNA from 1 species